rnacentral:lncRNA from 1 species
UCCCGCCUUCACUCCCGGCCCUAGGGGGUCGGAGUAGGUCCAGCAGGAGUGACCCCCCGGGGCUGUGGGAUCUGAAACUUUUUCUUCUCUACUGCUUGUUCUCCCUUCCUCCAUCCCUCACCCCGAAGCGGGAAGCAGCUUUCUCUUCCCAGCUUCCAUCCAGUCUCUGAGUAGACCAGUCGCAGCUUAGAUGCUGGGAUCGCCUCAGAACACAUUUCUUUGCCCUUCACGGCCACUACCGGUAUUGGGGUAUGCGAGUCUCAGGGCCGUUCGUUGCUCACAGGUCGAGCUGGUCUGGACUCUGUUCGACCACGAAUCAUGACUCCUUCCUGCCAGUUAUGUCCCCUCCGCACCCUUGCCCAGCCAUUUUACCAGGCCUCUCCACAUUGCGCUGCCCCACGGACCUUAUCAAGCUUGAAGAUCUUUAAAAAGAAAAGUAAAAGUAAUGCAAGAGAACAAAAAGAUUGUCAGUGAAAGAUAUAUAAUUGCAUUAAGAUGUGGCCCUAAUCUUUCCACAGUCAAGCGUGUACUACUAUUUCACAGCAUUUUCCUUUCCAAACUGUGUGCCAAAUAAAUCGGGGUCUCCAACCCCAGAGCCGUGAA